rnacentral:tRNA from 5 species
GGCGCUUUAGCUCAGUCGGUAGAGCAACGGACUGAAAAUCCGUGUGUCCCCAGUUCGAUUCUGGGAGGCGCCA